UAUGUAUGUAUGUACGUACGUCUCCAGUCACGCCUAUUCUGGUCACACCCAUGUGUGCACAAUAUCUAUUAAUCCUUUAGGUCUUACCUCAACUAAAUCCAAUAGAUGAACAAUCCGACAAUGAGAUCCAACUCAUCCACUGAAUGUACUCCAACCUAGAGGCACACUACAUAUGUAGUGUGCCUUAACGGGUUCAACCACCUUUAUUCCCAAGUCAAUGUCACAAAGGGAAAGGAGGAAGACACAGACCAAAAGGGAGGUGGAAUUCCCCUUUCACAUUAGAAUAUAAAUUCUAAUGGAGAUAACACAUACAAA